rnacentral:rRNA from 1 species
GUUUGGUUAAGUUAGAAAGGGCGCACGGUGGAUGCCUUGACACUAGGAGUCGAUGAAGGACGGGACUAACGCCGAUAUGCUUCGGGGAGCUGUAAGUAAGCUUUGAUCCGAAGAUUUCCGAAUGGGGAAACCCACUAUACGUAAUGGUAUGGUAUCCUUACCUGAAUACAUAGGGUAUGGAAGACAGACCCAGGGAACUGAAACAUCUAAGUACCUGGAGGAAGAGAAAGCAAAUGCGAUUUCCUGAGUAGCGGCGAGCGAAACGGAACAUAGCCCAAACCAAGAGGCUUGCCUCUUGGGGUUGUAGGACAUUCUAUACGGAGUUACAAAGGAACGAGGUAGACGAAGCGACCUGGAAAGGUCCGUCGUAGAGGGUAACAACCCCGUAGUCGAAACUUCGUUCUCUCUUGAAUGUAUCCUGAGUACGGCGGAACACGUGAAAUUCCGUCGGAAUCUGGGAGGACCAUCUCCCAAGGCUAAAUACUCCCUAGUGAUCGAUAGUGAACCAGUACCGUGAGGGAAAGGUGAAAAGCACCCCGGAAGGGGAGUGAAAGAGAUCCUGAAACCGUGUGCCUACAAAUAGUCAGAGCCCGUUAAUGGGUGAUGGCGUGCCUUUUGUAGAAUGAACCGGCGAGUUACGAUCCCGUGCAAGGUUAAGCUGAAGAGGCGGAGCCGCAGCGAAAGCGAGUCUGAAUAGGGCGUUUAGUACGUGGUCGUAGACCCGAAACCAGGUGAUCUACCCAUGUCCAGGGUGAAGUUCAGGUAACACUGAAUGGAGGCCCGAACCCACGCACGUUGAAAAGUGCGGGGAUGAGGUGUGGGUAGCGGAGAAAUUCCAAUCGAACCUGGAGAUAGCUGGUUCUCCCCGAAAUAGCUUUAGGGCUAGCCUUAAGUGUAAGAGUCUUGGAGGUAGAGCACUGAUUGAACUAGGGGUCCUCAUCGGAUUACCGAAUUCAGUCAAACUCCGAAUGCCAAUGACUUAUCCUUAGGAGUCAGACUGCGAGUGAUAAGAUCCGUAGUCAAGAGGGAAACAGCCCAGAUCGCCAGCUAAGGUCCCAAAGUGUGUAUUAAGUGGAAAAGGAUGUGGAGUUG